AGCAGUGACGUGCCUCCUCCGUUCCUAACCCCAAAGCCGAAGCCACCGUGCACCUCACCAUAUCCACCUGCACCAAUAUGACCAUUAAAGUCCCCUCCCAUAACUAACUUCUCAGAUUGAGGAAUACUACUCACCAGAUUAUCCAAGUCCUCCCAAAAGCGCCUCUUAACCUCCUCGUCUAAGCCCGCUUGCCUACCAGAGAGCUGACAUUAGAAGACUGACACCCACAACACCAACAAAGCUCGACGACAUACGAUCAAAAGUUCGGGAUGAUGUGAUCCAAGUCAACCUAGAGGCAAAGCAGUUC
rnacentral:lncRNA from 1 species